CGGUGACCAGAGAGCAGUGUGAGGAUUUGGCAGCGACGUGUUGACGCUGCGCUUGCGUACCAUACGUAGGGCAAGACUGGAAGGCCGCUGGGAAAAUACCAGCAUCCCGAACGCAAAAAACGGACAGCGGGUCCACGUGCUAGGGAUUCGACCGCAUCCAAUGCAGGUGGGAAGAUCCCGCUAGACUAAAAUAGCUUAUCCUUAUCAAAACCCGGAAAUGCCAAAUGGACACGUGGGAUGAGGGUUCGGUUAAAUAACGCAGGAUGGUGGCCUACAAGGUUUCAGUGUGUUUCUGGAAAAGGAAAUAAUAUUCAGGAUGCCUAACACCGAUGAGUGAAGCCUCAAGUUAAUGAGCCCUGGGCUGGAGGCUUCCUAAAACACUAUGCAAAUGUGUAUUAAACAAGGCGUAGAGGAAACACUGACCAUUUUAAGAUGGUUGAUGCAACUUCUGAAAAUCUGAAGAACUUUGUUUCAAGCUGGUAUUAGCAUUUCACGAAAAGGAUCGGGGAGUUCUGCAUUAGGGUGAAGUAGAUUUCUCAUUAACAUGGAUGAAAAAUACCUAUUGAUAGUAUAAUUCGUUGAGCAGAGGGCAGAAGAGGGCGCCGCAACUCUGAGCAGGGUUGAGAAGCCUGUUUGGAUCCAGCUCUGCCAUUCUGGGCCGUGAGGUUACCAAUGUAGCAGUGAAGAAAGCCGGGGAUCACAGGCUCUCCUCCUUGUUAUAACAUUAGUAACAACACAAGAGGAGAGGAAACCAAGAGAGAAGACAGAAAGCCCGGAACUGGCAACCAGGACCAGAGACUUGGAGGCUGGAAGUCAAUAACCAAAGUGCCAGCACAGACCAAGCUGGGAGGACUCCAUUCUGGAUUGCGGAUGGCCACCUUCUUGCCAGGAGUCAAAAGUGAGCAGCAGUGCCCACCUCUUGGUCAUGCAGGGUGAAGGACUGAACCAGGGCUUGUGUUUGCCAGCAGCUUGCGGCACCGGGAAUGAUGGACAGCCACGUGGUCUCUGGCUGGCAGCGUGGAUGAGACACCGAUGUGGAUUCAGAGGCACCAAGGACUACGAACAUCAACAUGGCCUCCACAGCAGCACUGAUCAUGGAAGUCUUUCAAGGGGACAACUCAGAAAAUGAAUCGUUCUUCAUCUCGGAUAUCUUGUUGCUCAGAGUCAGGGUGAUCGUGGGAUCGGGCAGCGUGUGUGUGGAACAGAAGUGGGCGUGGGGGGGGCACCUAGAAGAGCUGCGGCUCCAUUCUGCGGGCUGAGCGGCAGCAGUACUUGUCCUAGCAGGCGGGAACCGGGUGAGGUGGAUCCUAUAGUUGCUUGAGCCUCCAGGGUCCGAGGAGAACCUUCUCUACUGGGCAAUGACAUGCUCCUUUGUGCCCUCCCCCUGCCGCAGCCCUGCUCCAUACCCAUCGCUGCCCAGUCUCGCUUCCCUCUGUUGCGCUGCUCUGUUCUGCAGUAUGGAAAAAAAAUAUACUUUAGGGGUGGGGCACGCCAUUGAACUUUUCAUAAUUUCCAUCUCUUUGCUGAAAUUCCCUCUGACUACACCCAUUGUCAGCUUUCCCCACCAGAUCCUUUAAUGUAUUGUUACACUUUUUAAAAUUCUUCUCUGCUAAUUUGAAUACUCAGAUCAUAUGCAAAUCCG
rnacentral:lncRNA from 1 species